UACGAAGGGGGCUAGCGUUGCUCGGAAUUACUGGGCGUAAAGGGCGCGUAGGCGGACAGUUUAGUCAGAGGUGAAAGCCCCAGGGCUCAACCUUGGAAUUGCCUUUGAUACUGGCUGUCUUGAGUUCGGGAGAGGUGAGUGGAAUGCCGAGUGUAGAGGUGAAAUUCGUAGAUAUUCGGCGGAACACCAGUGGCGAAGGCGACUCACUGGCCCGGUACUGACGCUGAGGUGCGAAAGCGUGGGGAGCAAACAGG
rnacentral:rRNA from 1 species